CAGCCCCUCGAGUGGUGGGGAUGAUUAUUUGGCCUAAAGCGUCCGUAGCCGGCCGAGCAAGUCUUCCGUUAAAUCCAGCGUCUCAAGCGUUGGACCGCGGGAGAUACUACUUGGCUAGAGAGUGGGAGAGGUCAGCGGUAUUCUGGGGGUAGGGGCGAAAUCCUUUGAUCCCCGGAGGACCACCAGUGGCGAAGGCUGCUGACUAGAACACGUCUGACGGUCAGGGACGAAAGCUGGGGUAGCGAACCGGAUUAGAGACCCGAGUAGUCC
rnacentral:rRNA from 1 species